AUUGAACGCUGGCGGCAUGCCUUACACAUGCAAGUCGAACGGCAGCACGGGAGCAAUCCUGGUGGCGAGUGGCGAACGGGUGAGUAAAGUAUCGGAACGUGCCCAGUCGUGGGGGAUAACGUAGCGAAAGUUACGCUAAUACCGCAUACGAUCUAUGGAUGAAAGCGGGGGAUCGCAAGACCUCGCGCGAUUGGAGCGGCCGAUAUCAGAUUAGGUAGUUGGUGGGGUAAAGGCUCACCAAGCCGACGAUCUGUAGCUGGUCUGAGAGGACGACCAGCCACACUGGGACUGAGACACGGCCCAGACUCCUACGGGAGGCAGCAGUGGGGAAUUUUGGACAAUGGGCGCAAGCCUGAUCCAGCCAUGCCGCGUGCAGGAUGAAGGCCUUCGGGUUGUAAACUGCUUUUGUACGGAACGAAAAGGUUUGACUUAAUACGUUGGACUCAUGACGGUACCGUAAGAAUAAGCACCGGCUAACUACGUGCCAGCAGCAGCCGCGGUAA
rnacentral:rRNA from 1 species